GUGCGUUAUUAAACAAGAUAUUUUUUCAAAUAUCGACCCUCAUUACGAUUUAAAAAAAGUUUUCAAUACAAUUAGCGCUUUUCCUAAGCUAAAUAAUUUGCUUAACGCCAAGAUUUUACUUCUAUAUGUAGUUUAGAAAACAACAUGUUAGUUUAAAAAAACUAUGAAAUGCAUAUAUGCGUUAAAUUUUAAUGCUUCCUCUUCUUUGUUUAGUUUACAGUUACCUUUUCGUGGCGCGUUCAUUGUGUGUUAAUUUAGCAUUUCUUAUCGUUUUGUAGUACAAUUAAUUAAAAAUAAUGGUGUUUAGUGGCUUUCUGUGUUUAAACUGUGUUUGUUUAAUGUUAAGUGAGUUGCAAAAGGGAACGUAAAUAAAACUAUGCUAUCAUAAUUGCGCUUCCGCCGGUGCUUUGGUUUCAGGUCGCGUCCGGUGUUGUGCUCGUUUGUUAAGUGUUUAAUAUUGUAUUAUUUAGUUUAUAUUGAAGUUGUAAAGCGUUGCAUAUCUGUUGCUGCAUACAAAAGUACAAGUUUGUAUUGAAAAAUCUUAUUCCGGCAGAGUAAAUUAUUAGAAAAGCAAGAUGGCUCAUAAUCAAACGUCGCGUUUCUUCAACAUGUUUUUUCUUGCAAUGGAAAGUUUGAAAAGCAGUGUACUAGUGAAAUAUUUAUAUUUUCAUUUCCUAUUUUCCAAUUUGCAAGUAAAAAUUUUAAAUACCGUGUAUUGGGAGAAAAUGAGGUUAAUCAUUAAAAUCAUAUGUGUAAAUAUAUUUUGUGACAGCAAGAGCUAAGAUUCCAAGGAAAUGGCAAUAAGUAAAUUAAUUGUCGUAAAAAUUCAACCCAGCCAUUAAGUAACAACUGAAAUCAGCUUUUGAAAGAAUAAAAAUCCGCAAAAACACUUUCCAUGGAUCCACCAUUCUACAUCGGGUGCUACUGACAUUCAUAUGAGUGGCCUAGACACACUGAACCGAAUCCAAAUAUUGUCUAUAAGAAUUGUGGAAAGAGCAAGAAAUAAUCUUCGUAUUUACUUAUUGGUUUCAGUUAAUGCGUGUGUUCAGAAAAUUUGAUGAUUAGCCCAGGUUUCCUAGUUUGUUGGUAUAACCGCUACAUUGGCCUGCGAAAUCGCCAUUCAAAUAUACACGUUUAUAAUAUGUUCCACUUGCUCCAAGACAAACGCCACCUUGCAGAGCGAUUGUAGAUUGUUUUAGCUUCGGUACCCACCUACGACUUUAACGACUACGAGGCCCUGCCAGUAGUUAAGCUAUCAACGUCAUCACUCUGAUGAUCAUUUUACUUACUGAACGCCCUUAUCGCGACAAAACAACAAUGCUCGAGAGAGCUCUUCGCGCUAAACGGAGUUAAGGGAUAAACUAUAUGAAAUAAUAUUCAUCGAUAAUCUGGCAAACGUCUACAAAAAAAGUUAUGCUUCAUGUAGUCGACGCACUACUAUGAUAGGAUAAUAUACACAAACGAAAAAAACGUUGAAUAAGUUGCUUUCGCUUUUCCUGGUUCAAGCCCUUAGCGACUUUAGCCUGUGCUCAACCCUCAAAAGAAUGCGUGCUGGAAAGCUAUCGCUGACACUGAGAUUUUUAAUGAAACAAAAGACCAAUAGUACUAUGUAUAAGAAAUUGAUUUGACCUAAGAGGAGAGCCAGCAAAUCAAAUCAACCAUCAUCUAAUUUCCAAGAAGUAUAUACACGAUUCCUAUCUCUCUUUUACAGCACCAAACUGCUGUCCAAAAUUGAAACCAUUUCUUUUAUUAUAAAGUAAUUCGAAUUUAUUGUUUGUUAUAACUUUUUAAAUAUUUUAUUUUUUCAUUUGAUCGUUACAUUAUACUCAACUUGAUCUUUCUUUUACUUGGUUAAAAUUUUAAUUUAAUUUCUUUUUUCUCAUUUACAUAAGUUUUGUGCUGGUAUGGUUUCUUAAGUGCAAAAAUAUUUUAAGUUUAAUAUUAUAUUCUCUUUUCCUCUCCUUUAGUCUUGCACACCAACUACAUACAUAUGUAUGGACAUAUUUUCACUUUGACAACAUCAAUACUAUGCACAAGGGUAUUAUAUAUCUUCAAUAAAUGCAAUUUGUUCUCUUCGGGAUAUUUUGUGUUGGUGAAAAUAUAUUAUUUUAAAAAUAAAUUUUAUUGAAAAUAAUAAUUUUUAUGUAAAAAAAUAUUUUUUUAAAAAAAAGUUUUGUUUUUUUUAAUUUUUAUGAAUUUUUGUGUUGUUAAAAAAGCUAAAUGUUUAAUGAAUUAAGAUAAUUAUAUAUAUUGGAUGUGAUUGCAAUAUAUUUAUAAGUAUUUCUAAGUUAUGCAAACAUACUUUUUAAUUAAAAUAAAAUUCAUAUGCUUGCAUAUAUAGUGAAGUACAUUAUGUAUUUAUACAAAUUGCAACAAAAAUUUUACUAAAUUCUAAGCUCUAGCAAAAUAUUGUAAACAAUUCAGGCACAUAAUAUACUACUAUUAAUAAAAUCAAUAUGUACAUCUACAUUCAUACAUAUGUAUAUUAAUUUUAAUGCAUAAAAUUUGGCUAAUUAAUGAACACAGCAAGCGUACAAACAUAUUAUUUAUGUAUUUAUGGAUGGAUUAUUAUUUUAUUUUUACACUAGCAAAUCCCUAUUCUGAAAGAUUUUCUCAGAAAAGUGGUCAAAUGACGGACAGCAGCAUAAAUAUAUAAUUUUUCCGAUACCUUAUGCUAUAUACUUCAUUCCUGCAUUUAAAUUUUUUCCAUUCGGUAAACCGAUGGCUCGGAAAAACUGGAUUUAGUAGGUAAGUUGCAGACAACCAGAUGUUAGGAACACCAGACAGUGGGGCCCGGAAAUAUUUAUCUAAAUAUUUUGUAAGAUGCCCCUGAGCUUAUAGUACAAUCCUGCAUUUAAAAUUUUGCCAUUCGGUCCAGCAGCGGCCGAGAAAAACUCGAUUUAGUAAGCAAGUCGCUGGUCGGGUACCAGACCCCUA
rnacentral:lncRNA from 1 species